GGUUAUAAUACACUGAUGAGGUAAUGAUACACUGAUGAGGUUUUAAUACACUGAUGAGGUAAUGAUACACGGAUGAGGUAAUGAUACACUGAUGAGGUUUUAAUACACUGAUGAGGUAAUGAUACACGGAUGAGGUUUUAGUACACUGAUGAGGUAAUGAUACACGGAUGAGGUUUUAAUACACUGAUGAGGUUUUAAUACACUGAUGAGGUUUUAAUACACUGAUGAGGUUUUAGUACACUGAUGAGGUAAUGAUACACUGAUGAGGUAAUGAUACACUGAUGAGGUUUUAAUACACUGAUGAGGUUGUAAUACACUGAUGAGGUAAUGAUACACUGAUGAGGUUUUAAUACACGGAUGAGGUAAUGAUACACUGAUGAGGUUUUAAUACACUGAUGAGGUUUUAAUACACUGAUGAGGUUUUAAUACACUGAUGAGGUAAUGAUACACUG